UUUUUUAAUAUGUUGUGUACAGACUUAAUUACUUCUCUGUCUACUUUUCUUACUCCAUGUAGGUUUCCCAGAGACUAUGGGUUGAGGAGGAAUUGGAAGUUUGUUGGCUUAGACCUGGUGUCAUUCCAUCAGUGUUAAACUUCCCGGCUCAUCUUGGAAGAGUACGUGCCAGAAAGACCACAACCAAGCUGCCUUGAGAUCUUAGACAGCGUCUCCCUGAGGUCCCUCUCUAUCUCCCCACACAUCCACCAACCACUGGAACACAUCUCCAAAGUUCUGCUGGACCAGCUCAGCUUCCCCUCAGAAGAAGUGCUGCCACCUGCCAGAUGAAGGAGCCUUUUGAGAGGCAGCUGGCAUCGUGAUUGGACUGUACUUUGGUCUGUUCCAAUCCAGCUUCAGCUCCAGAGACGGCAGGCGGGACGAGUCAACGGAGGCCGGAUGGACGAAGGCAUGCAGCUGAGUACAAUCCAGAAAACAACAGAGGAGGAGUGCAGCAGCCCAGAGCCAGAACAACCAGAGUAGCAUGACCAAAGAACUACAGACUCUUCACAACCUGCUCAAACUCUUGGUACAGGACCUCACCACACGGGUCAAGAAGGUUUCCAUCUCAUUUCUACUCUGAAGCUCACCUUCUCCUGCUCAAACUGCUGACAAAUGUUCCUGCUGCUCUAAAGUCUGGUCUCCAGAACUUCCUAAAAACUCUGAAAGUCUCUUCUGCUGCAGGUUGCUUUGUAGAACUGUUACAGAAAACCUCACUAAACCACAUGGAGGAGCCUCAAGAUAGUCGUCCAAAUGAAACCAUACAAAAACCAAACUAGCACAACCCAAACACUAAAGUCUCCUGCAGCCUACCAGAGAACCUCUGAGAACAGAGAAUCAGGACAGGAACUCUUACCUUCUGGACAACCAACGCUGGUUCUCAAACAAGAAUACAGAAUGUGUCUGACCAGAAACCUCUGAAGACUCACUACAGCCAAGAUAAAGACACAACUCAGCUGCAUCAAAUCCACUAAUCACUGCACACAUUAGCACCAUGUGCUAACUGUGGCUAAAGAACCACAUUUACCAAGACAACUAUCCAGUACAAAGCCCUAAAACACACCAAGAAACACAUUAAAGACGAUUUUACUGCUGGAAGCUGCAAGCCAACGUCUAAAGAACAAACUCAAGCAACCGGAGCCAAACCCGGUUCUGUGGUGAACAGAAGCAGAGGAAAUGUUUGUCUGCAGCUAAAUAAAGCAGGAAGACAGUGAGCUGCUCAGGUGUUCCUGAUAACACCAAGCAGCUCAGGUGUUCCUGAUAACACCAAGCAGCUCAGGUGUUCCUGAUAACACCAAGCAGCCACCUGGACAGCCAAUAGGAACACAGCUUACUGGAAGUCCAGAGGGCGGGGUUAGUGAAGGAAAUUUAAUUUAAAGUUGAAGCAGAAAGUUAACAAAGAAAGUUGAAAACCACUUUCUGAUACCUGAAGUCUCUGAGUUUUCACACAAAGAACACCUGAACAUGUCAAACUGGUUCCAUAGUAGAACCAUCAUUGUAAAAACAUCAUACUAUGGUGUGUUGCUCAAAAAACAUUAGGACCCGGCUGUCAGGGGACAAACAUGUAAGAAACAUGAGAACAGAGAGAACCCAACCAGUAGGUCACAGUUUAUCAUCAUCUAAUCAUCUCCUGAAGUCCAUAUGGUGAGAGACAUCAGUAUCUGGUUGUUCAUUUACCAGAGGAUGCUUAGAAUCAUGCUGAUGUGGUCUGUACUCUACAGUGUUUUAGUGACUCAAUAAAUGCCUAAGUUGUUUUUUUUUAAAUGCUUUUUAGUUUUUAAUAAACAUUUAACAGCCUCUAUGUAAUCAAUAAAUGGCCUUUGCCUAUCUUAAGAAAAAUUCACUCAGAACUCUGAUAUGUUAACAGUACUAAAUAAAUCAAUAAAUACAUGCAUACACACAUAAAUAAGUUAAUACAUUAACUGUGUUAAGAUAAGAUUUAGAUUAAAAAAAGUUGUUUAUGUUCUUGGAUGUUUCAACAAGACAAUGAGCCCAAACACACAUCAGACGUGGUAAAGAAAUGGUUCCAUCAGGAUAGAAUGAAGGUUCUAGACUGGUCUCCCCAAAGUCCUGACUUAAACCCAUCAAGAACCUGAUGAAGAAACAAGUCUGAGUCACCAAUUCUGUCCAGAGGCGUCAAAGAUAAACCAGGAGACCUUUAAUAAAUCUAUGAAAGGACGAAAAUACAGGAUUGUUUUUUAUGUGACAAAGAUUUGCGUGUUUCAAUGAUUUCAGAGUUCUAGGAGUCAUUAUAAGCUGAAGGCUGCCAUCAUCAACAUGGCCUCUACUAGUAAACUUUUGUUCAUGCCUGUACAUAACAUGUUUAAUAUAAUCUGAUGUGAUGAAUUGACAGCUCAGACAUGAUCCAAAAUGACUAAGAAGUGGUUCAAAAUGAUUUAAAGGUUGCUCAAAAUGAUUUAAAAGUUGCUCAAAAUGACUCAAAAUUAGUCCAAAAUGGUUUAAAAUUUGCCCCAAAAUAGGUCAGAAAUUAUCCACGAGUAAAACAUGUUGAAAAUGAAUCAAAUGUGUUCAAAAUGACAGAAAAAUGUCCAAAAUGACCAAGAAUUGGUUCAGAAUCACUUAAAAUGACAAAACCUGUUCAACUUGGCUCAGAAAUGACUUGAAACCUGUCUAGAUUGGUUAAAAAUGACUCAAAAUUGGUCAGAAAUGACUCAUUUAGUGGUAAAGAAAUGGUUCUAUCAGGCUGGAAUGAAGGUUUAGACUGGUCUGUCCAAAGUCCUGACUGAAACCCAUCAAGAACCUGAGGACUGAUGAAGAAACAAGUCAAACAAAAAUACACAAAAAGGGGUUCAAAAUGACAAAGUUGUGACACAAACUCAUAAAAAACUUUGAUCUGUUGCUGUCGAUGCCUGUGUGAUUGUGUUUUUCCUUUAAUUUGUCCCUCGUCUCUACUUCCAUCUGCUUCCUGCCUCCCCGACUUGUUUUCCUCUCCGAGCCUCGGACGGUUGCUAAUUGGCUUCUGCUGCAUUUUUAAUGUUCAGCCACACUGUUGUGUCGUCCUGCUGUUUGUGUGUUUUUUCCUCUAAUCUGGUGACAGUGAGUUGGUUUUCAUCUCUUCUGGCUUCGUCCUCUGGUCCCGGUGGACGCCCUAAUGGCAGCUUGCAGGUAGAGGGUGGUGUUUUUGGUCCGUUUGUGGUUAACAGCUUCUUUCCUCCCACUAUUUGAAGGCGGCUGCGCUUCAUUAAGGGAAGCGGCAGCGUCCUGUCAAGCUGCCAGCAAACCGGGCCACUAAUGCGCCGCUGUGAGUGUGUUUGUGUAUUGUUAAACCCUCGAGUCCAAAUUAUCUUUAAAAGGGUGGAAACAUGGAGAGGAUCCUCCAAAGUGAGCACAUUUCACUGCUUCUUAAAGGGAUGGUUAAAGCUUUUACAAAUAUGUGGAUUUGCCUGAUAACUGAUAGUGGAAAUAUGCAAACAACACAAAAUAGAACACAAAUAGAUGAUAAACAAGCAAAACACAAUGCAAAACCAACAAAAUGACACAGAAAGUAACCAAAAUGUUCCCUAAAACAACGAAAAUACGACACAAAACUGUUCAAUUGUGAGACAAAAGUUUAAAACAUCAAAAAUGACAAAAUAUCACGACAAGCAUCCAAAGAAAGACCCACUAAACAAGAAACUAUGACACAAAACAACCAAAAUGUGAGACAAAAUGUUGAAAAAAAGAUGAAAAUGACAAAAAAUGUAACACAAAAUAACCAAAAUAUGAUAAAAAAAACUGCCACAAAAAACACUAAUUGACCAAAAUAUGACACAAAAUGACCAAAUAUGACACAAAAUGACCAGAUAUGACACAAAACAGCAAUAAAAAGAUGAUAAACAAGCAAAACACAAUGCAAAACAAACAAUGGGACAGAAAGUAACCAAAAUGUUCCCAAAAACAACCAAACUACAACACAAAACUAUUCAAUUGUGGCACAAAACUAGUCUAAAAACAUAAAAAAUACCAAAUAUCACAAAACAACUACAAAAGAUGCAAAAUGACAAAAAUGUGACACAAACUGACCCAAAAAGAUGGAAAAUAGUAGAAACGUGCCACGAAAAGUGUCCAGAAUGAUGGAAAAUUGGCUCAAAAAUUGUCCAAAAUACUCAAAAUUUGAAAUUGAAAUACGUCCAGUAAAACCCAAAUCUGCCCGAAAUAAAAUAAAAUCAGUCUCAAAAUGACCCAAGUUGUGUCCAAAAUGGCUCAAAAUUCACCAAAAAUUAUGUGAAACAUGUCCGAAAUGAAAGUAAAUGGUCCAAAAUGAACAAACCUUUUAUCGAAAUGAGUUGAAAAAUGUCCAAAAUUACUCAAAAUGUCCCAGAAUAACUUGAAAGGUAUAAAAAAAUGACUCAGAAAUGUCUCAAAAGACACAAAAUGUUU